GGUAAUGAUUUAAUUUAACCCCUUCAGAAAUUUCAUAGUCAUUUAGACUGAUACAAUUGCAUUCAGAUUCAUGGAAGAGUUUCUUGAGGGGCAGAGAAUCUCAAAGCUGCAAUGAGCAGAAAGGGCAUCACCACCCCCUGGGUGAAGAACUUCCUCCUAAGAUCCAACCUAAACCUCCCCUGUCUCAGUUUCAAACCAUUCCCCUUUGUCCUAUCAUUGCUGUCCUAUCAUUGCCCACCCUUACAAAAAGCCGUUCUGAACAAGCCCAGUUCCCUCAACUUUUCCUCAUAGGAAGGUGCUCCAGCCUUCUGACCAUCUCAGUGGCUUCCUCUGGACCUAUUCCAAGAGCUCUGCAUCUUUCUUGUUCUAGGACCUCAGGCCUGGUGUCCAGGUGGAAAGCAAAGUGAGUGAGAUCCUGAGCUGUGUAGCAGGAAUUGGUAUGUAGCACAAGAGUCUGCUUAUAAAUGGUAGAGUAAUUCAAAAGGAGAAGGUUGUGCACAGGAAACUAAAAUAAAAUGCUUACAUGCAGAUAGAGUAAUUGCCCAACCAGUCCCAACAGUAGCCAAAGCCACUGUCAGUUCUGGUUUGAUACAGCAGCUGUUUCACAUGGAAAUGAAAUAUGGGAAAUAAUUAUUUUGCUCUACUUGGCAUUCGUGUGGCCUCAGCCGGAGUCUGUCCAGUCCAGGGCACCACAUAACAAGUAUUGGAGAGAAUCCAGAGAAGAACAGUAAAAAUGAUGAGAGAUUGAAAAUCUUGACCUCUGAAGACAGGUUAAAAGUACUGCAUUUUUUUCUAGUCUUGAAAAGUGGAACAGUCAAUCAUUUCUCAAGGCUGGUUUCAAAUGAUUUGUGGGGAAAAAAAAAAAAAGUUGCUCUGUCCUUAGGAUAUGAUAUUGGGAUGAUUUUGUGUUGACCUAGAUUAUCUAGGAAGGUUGUACAGCCACUUAAAUUGGAAUUCAAGGCAGUGGUACUCAGUACUCCUUGCAGAGUGCAGUACCUGAUUGGUUGGAACUUCUUCCCUGAUGUCACAAUGGCAGAUUCCCAGCUCCCAGGAAUGGAAGGAGAGGAUGCUGCCCUGCACCCUGCUCCAGGAAAUUGGGACCAAGUGCUUGUGCACAGAUGCUCAUAGACUGCCAUCCACCAAAGGUGACUUUCCAGGGAGGCAGCCCAGAUUUCCCUAUGAUUUGCUCCAGUGGUUUAUGGGACUAAUCAUCACAUACAUUUCAAAAAGCAUGGAGAGAAGAAAGAAUGCAAGGAGCAGUAUGAGAGGUGCAGCGUGUCCUGUUUUAGCAGCAGUUUGACCCACAGCUUCGUUCCCCUGCUGCAGGGACCUGGCUUUGCUCAGGAGCAGCAUUAAUUUUCUUUAAAGGUUGCAUGUCAGAAAUGUGCAUAGAAGAAUGUCAAUCUUGGAUGCAUUCUGUGGAUGGAGAUAGUGUUUUAUGACCCGAGUCUGGGAUGGAACGACAGGGACAAGUCUCAUCCUGCAUCUGCAGCCUUUUGAAAUACCAAAUAAAUUUGGAUUUAAAUAAAGGAAGAAUGGUCACUCGGAACCAAUCCCAUAAUGAAUCUUCCUUCCUGAGAGGAAGAUCAUGACAUGAAGAUCCUAUGAGAGAUGAAGGAGGAGCGGCUGGACCAAAGUGCUGUUUAUUAUUUACUUCAAAGCAAACUUCACAAAAGACGUGUCUAUUACAUGAAGAAACUUUUAGAGCUGAAAAGGCUUCAUUUACCUUAAUGCAGAGGAACACAGUUCCCAGCUGAAAUUUCCUGAGAGAGAGUCCCACGAGAUUCAGAAAGAAGCAAAGAAUGUGCAUUUUAAUAUAAUAUUCUUUCAGAUUUUCACAUGAAACACUGCAUGUUUUUAUGCUCGGCGCGGCAGCUUACUUUUAUUUUAAAAUAAACAAGCUCGGGUUUAAUGGAA